rnacentral:rRNA from 1 species
GACAGAGGUCCCGAGCGUUAGGCGGAAUCACUGGGCUUAAAGCGUGUGUAGGCGGGUCGUUAAGUGUCUUGUGAAAUCCCAUCGCUCACCGAUGGAACUGCUGGACAUACUGGCGAUCUUGAGCCACUUAGGGGCAACCGGAACAAACGGUGGAGCGGUGAAAUGCGUAGAUAUCGUUUGGAACGCCAAUGGUGAAAAACAGGCUGCUGGGGUUGUGCCGACGCUGAGACACGAAAGCCAGGGGAGCAAACGGG